rnacentral:rRNA from 1 species
AUUCAGCUGUCAGGUGAACCAGACAAGUUUCGAUGGAAUUUGCAUCAAAACGGCAGGUUUUCAAUGAAAUCCUUGCAUGAGGCAAUGGUUCGUACUGAUGUUUUGGUUGAUAACAGAAAAAUAUAGAAGCUCAAAAUUCCUCUAUGAGUGAAAAUAUUCCUCUGGUUUCUAAAAAGAGGGGUCAUCUUAAUUAGAGACAAUUUGGCACGACGAAACUGGCAAAAUAGCAAGACAUGUGUUUUUUGCCAACAUAACGAGUCGAUGAAACACUUAUUCUUUUUUAGUGUAAGUUCGCUCGUUCAGUUUGGGACAUAG